UAGGGAAUCUUGCGCAAUGGGCGAAAGCCUGACGCAGCCAUGCCGCGUGAAUGAUGAAGGUCUUAGGAUUGUAAAAUUCUUUCACCGGGGAAGAUAAUGACGGUACCCGGAGAAGAAGCCCCGGCUAACUUCGUGCCAGCAGCCGCGGUAAUACGAAGGGGGCUAGCGUUGCUCGGAAUUACUGGGCGUAAAGGGCGCGUAGGCGGAUAUCUAAGUUGGGGGUGAAAUCCCGGGGCUCAACCUCGGAAUUGCCUUCAAAACUGGAUAUCUUGAGUUCGGGAGAGGUGAGUGGAACUCCGAGUGUAGAGGUGAAAUUCGUAGAUAUUCGGAAGAACACCAGUGGCGAAGGCGACUCACUGGCCCGAUACUGACGCUGAGGCGCGAAAGCGUGGGGAGCAAACA
rnacentral:rRNA from 1 species